rnacentral:rRNA from 1 species
UGCGCAGGCGGUUAUGUAAGACAGAUGUGAAAUCCCCGGGCUCAACCUGGGAACUGCAUUUGUGACUGCAUGGCUAGAGUACGGUAGAGGGGGAUGGAAUUCCGCGUGUAGCAGUGAAAUGCGUAGAUAUGCGGAGGAACACCGAUGGCGAAGGCAAUCCCCUGGACCUGUACCGACGCUCAUGCACGAAGCGUGGGAGCAAACA